GACGAACGCUGGCGGCGUGCUUAACACAUGCAAGUCGAACGGUAAGGCCCUUCGGGGUACACGAGUGGUGAACGGGUGAGUAACACGUGGGUGAUCUGCCCUGCACUUCGGGAUAAGCCUGGGAAACUGGGUCUAAUACCGGAUAGGACUCCUGGCUUCAUGGUUGGGGGUGGAAAGCUUUUGCGGUGUGGGAUGGGACCGCGGCCUAUCAGCUUGUUGGUGGGGUAAUGGCCUACCAAGGCGACGACGGGUAGCCGGCCUGAGAGGGUGACCGGUCACACGGGGACUGAGAUACGGCCCAGACUCCUACGGGAGGCAGCAGUGGGGAAUAUUGCACAAUGGGCGCAAGCCUGAUGCAGCGACGCCGCGUGAGGGAUGACGGCCUUCGGGUUGUAAACCUCUUUCAGCUAUGACGAAGCGCAAGUGACGGUAGUAGCAGAAGAAGGACCGGCCAACUACGUGCCAGCCGCCGCCGUAACAC
rnacentral:rRNA from 1 species